UGUACAGUAUCCUCAAAAAAAAUCCGAAUGCGAUUUUUUUUGUGGAAACCAUCUAGCGGUUGGUGAAUUAAAAGUGGUUGCCUGUGCCUGUGCUCUGCCCCGGCUCCAAGUUAACGUGCCCCUGCCUAAACUUCACUUCCGCGGCUCUACGUUGAAUGUGACUGUGUUGAAUGUUACGUGAUGAAGACAACAAAUAUUGCUUUGACUGUGAUGCCAAAGGACCAAGAUGGGCUUCAUGGAAUCUUGGAAUUUUCUUAUGUAUCCGUUGUGCAGGAUUUCAUCGGAACUUGGGGGUGCACAUAUCUAGAGUUAAAUCAGUCAAUUUAGACUCGUGGACCCCAGAACAAGUAGUUGCAUUUCCUCAUCGAUGAGUCAUUUAUUUCUCAAACUACAUUACAGUCCCUGCAGCAAAUGGAAAAAAGCCGAGCAAGGGCAGUGUAUGAAGCCAACCUUCCUGAUACUUUUCGAAUGCCACAGACAGAUUCAACCCUGGAGGGUUUCAUAAGAGCAAAAUAUGAAGCUAAAAAACACAUAGCCAAAGAAUGGGUUUGUCCACCGACAGUGAAGGUGUCAUGGGAUGCCGAGAUUGAAAUGGAAAUGAAAGGAAAAAAGGAAGCCAAACGCAAGACCAAUGAAAGUCCUGCCACCACCCUCGAGUUUCCUCCUAGCCAACCGUCGUCACGCACUCCUCGGACUGCUGAAUCGACGUCGACAAUCAGUUCAACUUCCUCAUCAGCGGUAAAAGAAGUUAAUCUACCGGCUCCGAUCGAAGUGCCAUCCCUACCUGCACCUACCAAAACUAGCUCGGCCGCUCAAGACCUAUUAGGAUUAGAUACGGCAAUCAACAGCUCAACAGGGAAUGAUUUAUUUGGUGGAUUAUUAACCAGCUGCCACUAAUAAUGGUAGUACUAACAAUGUAAUGGGAGGAGCCUCGAAAAAUGCCGACGAAGACAGUUUUUUCAACCAGAAAACACCCAGUACAACGGAGAAACGCAUAUUGGACCAGAAUUCAUUAUUACCCUGUAUAACCAGGGCGGUGCAACCACUUCUGUUGCUGUUCCACCUAUGCAAAAUAUAUUUGCUUCUUAAGGAGUUUAUUCGACUCCUCAACCGUCAUACAUACCCAAUCCUUCAAUGAAUCAAUCGGCAUUUGGAUCGUCUCCGUCAAUGAAUCAAACAAACUGCAUGAUGGCUCUACGCUGUCGCGGUGCUACUGCACCUAGUCCCAGUCUACUGAACAGUGCCCCAGCCUACGUCAUUCAGCCUCAUCCCUUAAACAAUCUGCCCCUUCCUACAACAAUAUUUCUUUUUAUUGUAAUAUUUUUUGUGUAAUGUUUGCUUUAUUAUUAAUAAGAAGACUGUAAAUCAUUUUUGGCUCUUGUCUGUUGUUGCUCUCUCUUAAUGGAAUCUCCGAAUUCUACCAAAACACACAGUUCAAUUCAUUUGUUUGCAUUGUAUUCUUCCACUAUAUUGCUUAAAUCAAGCCAUAAAUAUCCUACAGUGGCAGACAAUACAUAAUAUUCAUUUUCCACGAA